rnacentral:rRNA from 1 species
UACGUAGGGGGCAAGCGUUGUCCGGAUUUAUUGGGCGUAAAGCGCGCGUAGGCGGCGCGGUAUGUCGUGCGUGAAAUCUCCCGGCUUAACUGGGAGGGGCCGUGCGAAACUGCCGGGCUUGAGGUCGGAAGGGGAAAGUGGAAUUCCGGGUGUAGUGGUGGAAUGCGUAGAGAUCCGGAGGAACACCAGCGGCGAAGGCGGCAUCCUGGACUGGUCCUGACACUCAUGAGCGAAAGCGUGGGGAGCGAUCCGG